rnacentral:lncRNA from 1 species
GUUUUUGUAUUAACACAUACUCAACUAUAAAAGGCAGCACACACACAGGCUACAAAGGGGGGAGUCACAGGAAUAGAAAGACUCAAUGUUGCCAUCACGGCACCCUUAGUUGUCUGUGUUAUAUUAUUGCUAACACAUAAGCCCCAAACGAUACAGAGAUCAGAGAGAGAACAACCAGAAAAGGCAGAAAUAAUCAGGGCACAUAUUCACAUCAUAUAAACAGAGAGCAAUUCCUAUCAAUACACAUAACAGAUCAGAGAAUACGCUACACAUUAGGGCAGGCAGAAAUCAUACAACAUGUGCAUCACAUAAAUUCAGGAACAGGUAGACAUCAUAUACAUGCACUCAGUGAAAACCCAGACAACAAAACACAGAGAUACAUAUCAUACAGCAGAAUCAGAGAUAUAUCUAUAUCAUGCAUACAUAGAGAAAAACAUCUGGGAACAAAGAAUCAACACGCAAAAAGACAAAAGAAAGAAGCAUACAUCCAGGUAAGCAUUCGAAACAUAAAAAUGCCUUCAAUAUGAGCAUCAACGCAUAUAUAUAUAUAUAUGAGAUAAAAAUGCCCUGUUUCAUUUGAUUUAUGUUAUAGACUUACAAUAUGAGCAUCAACGCAUAUAUAUAUGAGAUAAAAAUGCCCUGUUUCAUUUGAUUUAUGUUAGAGACUUACAUGGUUAGUUCAUAAAUGUUUCUAAUUGGUCAUAUAAAAUACAUAUUGAUUUCAACAGAAACAUAUCUAUUUGCACUCAUAUAUAUUACGGUUCAUUUCUGGUUAACUGUUUGUCCAAAUCGGUUAUCUGUGAUAGAUUAAGUUCAUGCUGUAAAAUUGAAUGAAAAGGAUAAAAAUCCUUACCGGAAUCCUCUAGGUUUUGUGCCGAUGCCAAAUAGCAACCUUAAUGUUAUCCCCACCGAAUGAAAUCACAUAUUUAAUCCACUCCUUGGCCUUAAUGAACCUCAGUGGUGAUAACGAGAAUCAGAAACAACAACAAAAA